CCAUAUCACACUGAAACACCGGUUCUGGUCCGUUCACCGAAGUUAAGCAGCGUUGAGCUUGUUCAGUGCAUAGAUGGGUGCCCGCUCGCGAAAACCAGGUUCUGCAAG